GGUCAGUUGGGAUAGCUCAGUUGGUUAGAGCAUGGUACUGAUAAUGCCGAGGUUGCAAGUUUGAUCCCUGUAUUGGCUA